rnacentral:rRNA from 1 species
AUUGAACGCUGGCGGCAUGCUUUACACAUGCAAGUCGAACGGCAACAGGCUGCAAGGUGCCGACGAGUGGCGAACGGGGGAGUAAUGCAUCGGAAUGUGCCCAGUCGUGGUGGUUAAUUGCUCGAAAGGGUAGCUAAUACAGCCUACGACCUAUGGAUGCAUGCGGGGGAACGUAAGGCAUCGUGCGAUCGGACCGGCUGGAAUCAGCCGAUGUCGGAUUAGGUAGUUGGCGGGGUAAAGGCACACCAAGGCGACGAUCCGUAGCUGGUCUGAGAGGACAACCAGCCACACUGGAACUGAGACACGGCCCAGACUCCUACGGGAGGCAGCAGUGGGGAAUAUUGGACAAUGGGCGCAAGCCUGAUCCAGCAAUGCCGCGUGCAGGAAGAAGGCCUUCGGGUUGUAAACUGCUUUUGUACGGAACGAAACGGCUCUGGUUAAUACCCGGCGGUAAUGACGGUACCGUAAGAAUAAGCACCGGCUAACUACGUG